rnacentral:rRNA from 1 species
CGCAAGGUGAGUGGCAGACGGGUGAGUAACGCGUGGGAACCUACCCUUUGGUACGGAAUAACUUCGGGAAACCGAAGCUAAUACCGUAUAUCUCCUCCGGGAGAAAGACUUAUCGCCAAAGGAUGGGCCCGCGUUGGAUUAGCUAGUUGGUAGGGUAAAGGCCUACCAAGGCAACGAUCCAUAGCUGGUCUGAGAGGAUGAUCAGCCACACUGGGACUGAGACACGGCCCAGACUCCUACGGGAGGCAGCAGUGGGGAAUAUUGGACAAUGGGCGCAAGCCUGAUCCAGCCAUGCCGCGUGAGUGAAGAAGGCCUUAGGG